UACAGAGGGUGCAAGCGUUAAUCGGAAUUACUGGGCGUAAAGCGUGCGUAGACGGUUACAUAAGUCGGGUGUGAAAGCCCCGGGCUCAACCUGGGAAUUGCAUUCGAGACUGCGUAGCUAGGGUGCGGAAGAGGGAAGCGGAAUUUCCGGUGUAGUGGUGAAAUGCGUAGAUAUCGGGAGGAACACCAGUGGCAAAGGCGGCUUCCUGGCCUGUUCUUGACGCUGAGGCGCGAAAGCUAGGGGAGCAAACGGG
rnacentral:rRNA from 1 species